UGUCAUUUAGAGGAAGUCAAAGUCGUUACUAGGUUUCCGUAGGUGAACCUGCGGAAGGAUCAUUAUUGAAAUAAACCUGAUGGGUUGUUGCUGGCUCUCUAGGGAGCAUGUGCACGCCUUGUCAUCUUUAUAUCUCCACCUGUGCACCUUUUGUAGACCUUUCGGGGUCUAUGUUGCUUCAUUUUUCCACAAUGUAUGUUAAUAGAAUGUUGUGCCCUGUAUAAUAUAUACAACUUUCAGCAACGGAUCUCUUGGCUCUCGCAUCGAUGAAGAACGCAGCGAAAUGCGAUAAGUAAUGUGAAUUGCAGAAUUCAGUGAAUCAUCGAAUCUUUGAACGCACCUUGCGCUCCUUGGUAUUCCGAGGAGCAUGCCUGUUUGAGUGUCAUUAAUAUACAUAUAUCAAGCCUUCUCUUGUAGAAGGGUUUGGAUGUGGGGGUUUGCUGGCCUCUUAAUCUUAAGAGUUCAGCUCUCCUGAAAUGCAUUAGCAGAACAACCUUAUGUUCAUUGGUGUGAUAACUAUCUACGCUAUUGAAUGUUGAGGGGGAAGUUCAGCUUUCUAAUGGUCCCUUGGACAACUCAUCAUUAAUGUGACCUCAAAUCAGGUAGGACUACCCGCUGAACUUAAGCAUAUCAAUAAGCGGAGGAAAAGAAACUAACAAGGAUUCCCCUAGUAACUGCGAGUGAAGCGGGAAAAGCUCAAAUUUAAAAUCUGGCGGUUUUUUUGGCCGUCCGAGUUGUAAUCUAGAGAAGUGUUAUCCGCGCUGGACCGUGUACAAGUCUCCUGG
rnacentral:rRNA from 1 species